rnacentral:rRNA from 1 species
CCUACGGGAGGCAGCAGUGGGGAAUAUUGGACAAUGGGGGGAACCCUGAUCCAGCCAUGCCGCGUGUGUGAAGAAGGCCCUCGGGUUGUAAAGCACUUUCAGUGAGGAAGAACGCCUGGUGGUUAAUACCCAUCAGGAAAGACAUCACUCACAGAAGAAGCACCGGCUAACUCCGUGCCAGCAGCCGCGGUAAUACGGAGGGUGCGAGCGUUAAUCGGAAUUACUGGGCGUAAAGCGCGCGUAGGUGGCUUGAUAAGCCGGUUGUGAAAGCCCUGGGCUCAACCUGGGAACGGCAUCCGGAACUGUCAAGCUAGAGUGCAGGAGAGGAAGGUAGAAUUCCCGGUGUAGCGGUGAAAUGCGUAGAGAUCGGGAGGAAUACCAGUGGCGAAGGCGGCCUUCUGGACUGACACUGACACUGAGGUGCGAAAGCGUGGGUAGCAAACAGGAUUAGAUACCCUUGUAGUC